rnacentral:rRNA from 1 species
AUUGAACGCUGGCGGCAGGCCUAACACAUGCAAGUCGAGCGGAUGAAGGGAGCUUGCUCCUGGAUUCAGCGGCGGACGGGUGAGUAAUGCCUAGGAAUCUGCCUGGUAGUGGGGGAUAACGUCCGGAAACGGGCGCUAAUACCGCAUACGUCCUGAGGGAGAAAGUGGGGGAUCUUCGGACCUCACGCUAUCAGAUGAGCCUAGGUCGGAUUAGCUAGUUGGUGGGGUAAAGGCCUACCAAGGCGACGAUCCGUAACUGGUCUGAGAGGAUGAUCAGUCACACUGGAACUGAGACACGGUCCAGACUCCUACGGGAGGCAGCAGUGGGGAAUAUUGGACAAUGGGCGAAAGCCUGAUCCAGCCAUGCCGCGUGUGUGAAGAAGGUCUUCGGAUUGUAGAGCACUUUAAGUUGGGAGGAAGGGCAGUAAGUUAAUACCUUGCUGUUUUGACGUUACCAACAGAGUAAGCACCGGCUAACUUCGUG